UAUAGAAAAGGGGAAAUUAUUUUUGUUAUGUUCUUGUUGUAUGUAAGAGUGCUCUUGACUUUGUUUUAGAGAUGUAGAAUAUUGGAAUAUGAAGAACUUCCAGGAAUAAAAAAAAUUGAGAGCUGCUGACUGCUUUUGAGGCAACUCCUGUCAGCUGUGCAGAGGACUGAAUUAUCCUUCUUCCACAGGGGAACACGUACUGAGGAAAGUCCUGAUGUGGAUUCAAAGCCUCAAGUCAAGAUACCAGGAUGGGAGGGAAAGUGUCCUGUGAGCUCCAGUGCCACAGCAAAUACGGCACUUGCUCUGGGAAAGCUUCAAAAUUUAAGAUCAUCUUUGGGAGCAUCACACACUUUAAUUUUUCAGGAGUUCUUUGCCUCCUUCCUGGAUAUAAAUGUGAGACGAUGAUUGUAGAAGCUCCAGGGUAAAAUAACAGAAAAUGCAGUUGUGAACAGAAAGCAGCAGCGAGCUGGAGACAGAGAGCACAACCCAAGAAGGACAAACCUCGUGCCAGGAACUUGCUGGGUGCACUCAAAUGAGCAGGCAGGAGCUGCAAAAUCUGUUUGGAGAUGAAGGGAGCUAAAUUUAGAAGCUAAUCUCAAUGCUGCUCCCCUGCAUGUCCCUGGCUGGAGCAGCUGGUGCAGUGCUGGCCCUGGGAGCCUUCAGACACACACUCAGCUCUGCUGGUGGCAAUACCUGGCACGUCCAGUGCUUGAAUUUUUCCCAAUUUGCUGAUGAAGUCAGGAGUUGUUCAUUCCCAUGCCCUUUGU